AACAAUUAACAGGUCACACGAUAAUCAGAACAACGAGGAGAUCCGUGGUCUCUGCUCUGGUGCUGCGGUUGAGCUUUGAGGGGCCUGAAAAAAAUAAAAUUACUUUGAUAUUCCAAAGGUAUGUCAUCAGAACUCCUGACGAGUGCCGAAACUAACAAGUCCCGAACGAUGAAGCGUUUUCUCCCCUGGGGAGGCGUCAGGACUCACACAAGUUCUGCAGAGUGAGAUGAGUCCCGAGCAAGUGCCCAGUGCUGAAACAUUUUUUUUCUCAUCAAAAUGCAAUAAAUACAGGGUUCAAUGAGUUCUGAAGCCAACGAGGACCACAGUAUGAUGGUAUUUCAAAAGUAUGUUAUUGUGGAUGCCAAAAAAUCUACUUUGAUAUUAUUUUCAUAUCCCAAAGAUACAGACAUCUGACACUGGAGGCCCAGGAGGGCAGAGCUGGGCUGAUGACCCAGGGUGACAUGUCCUCCUGUCACCUGACCCAGCUGGGGAGAAGAAGUCUUCUGUUUGAGAACGGCGGUUUGACCUUGACGGGGCCAUAAUCAAUCUGGGCCUCCGUUCCCUCGUCUCCAAAAUGAGGCAGAAUUGUCCUCCCUCGUGGGCUGUGUCCAGGCUGGCAGGUGACACACGUAAAGCGUCCACAGAGUAGAUGCUGUGCGGAGCCACGGUUUUCAUUCUUAACUGAGCCGGCAUUCUAGUUGCGGAGGGGCGUGAAGGGAAGCCCUUUCAGAACCAGGCACAGAGAAGAGGAAAAAGCGACUCUGGAGGUCUCACCUCCGCCUGGCUCAGCGGGCUUCAUCAAUCUUGCAUGAAACCGAAGUCGGGGAGACAGGGCUCCAGGGGGCUGAUGGGGACCCAGCAGGAGGGAAGAUGGCCUCCUGUUCGAAGACGCCCCACUAUUCUCUCAUCACCAUGGAGACCGAGCUGGCUGCCCUAUGGGGUUCCCGCCUACCCAGAGCCUGAGGCUGCCACAAAGGGAGGGGCAGGGGCCGUGCGGACGGAGACCCACUGGAAGGCUGGGGUCGGGCGGCAAGGGGAGUGUCUGUGCCCCUCCCCCCACCCCCAAGGUGCUGAAGAGCUCAGGCCUGCGCGGAGCCCGAGCAGGUCCGGGGUCGGAAUCCCAGCGCUGCAGGCAGCAGCCAGUUUCCCGACUGUGGGAAAAACACUUCCUCUCUCCAAGCCUCAGGUGCCGCAUCUGUCCAAGGAAGGGGCAGAAAGAAUGCAAGGAAAACUGUGGAAAUGGGCCCGGACGACUGCGUGGUGACAGCCAGAG